rfam:Otolemur garnettii contig093476, whole genome shotgun sequence.
GCCACGGGUGCAGUGGCAUGUGCCUGUAGUCCCAGCUACUUAGGAGGCUGAGACAAGAGGAUUGCUUGAGUCCAGGAGUUCUGGGCUGUAGUGCGCUAUGCCAAUCGGGUGUCCGCACUAAGUUUAGCAUCAAUAUGGUGACCUCCCUGGAGCAGGGGACCACUCGGUUGCCUAAGGAGAGGUGAAUCGGCCCAGGUCAGAAAAGGAGCAGGUCAAAGCUCCUGUGCUGAUCAGUAGUGUGAUCAUCCCUGUGAGUAGCCACUACACUCCAGCCUGGGCAACAUAGUGAGACCCCAUCUCUA